GCCUGGUUAGCUUAGUUGGUAGUGCGUCUGCCUUGUAAGCGCUAGGCCGCGGGUUCGAUUCCCGCCCGGG
rfam:Asian citrus Psyllid, Diaphorina citri - Florida Strain, whole genome shotgun sequence.